GUACACUCCUGCGGGAGGCAGCAGUGGGGAAUUUUGGACAAUGGGCGAAAGCCUGAUCCAGCAAUGCCGCGUGAGUGAAGAAGGCCUUCGGGUUGUAAAGCUCUUUUGUCAGGGAAGAAACGGUGAAAGCUAAUAUCUUUUGCUAAUGACGGUACCUGAAGAAUAAGCACCGGCUAACUACGUGCCAGCAGCCGCGGUAAUACGUAGGGUGCAAGCGUUAAUCGGAAUUACUGGGCGUAACGCGUGCGCAGGCGGUUUUGUAAGUCUGAUGUGAAAUCCCCGGGCUCAACCUGGGAAUUGCAUUGGAGACUGCAAGGCUAGAAUCUGGCAGAGGGGGGUAGAAUUCCACGUGUAGCAGUGAAAUGCGUAGAUAUGUGGAGGAACACCGAUGGCGAAGGCAGCCCCCUGGGUCAAGAUUGACGCUCAUGCACGAAAGCGUGGGGAGCAAACAGGAUUAGAAACCCGAGUAGUCCCAUGAU
rnacentral:rRNA from 1 species